UCAAGAACAGAAAUAAAUAGACAGCAGAAAUGAGUGCGGGAAAGCGGUGGGUGAAUAGAUUUAAACUGGAGGUCACGGAGGCCCAUCGGCCCAGCUUGUUUGUGCUGACCAACUUGCUCUAGUGAGCUAGUCCCAUUUGCCCAUUAUUCCUUUCACCUUUUCUUAUCCACGGCCCUGCCAAGAUGUAUUUUAAAACAUUCUCCCUGUACCCAUCUCUACAGUUGAUCAAGGGCCCGGUGUAAACAGAGAUAACCCUCUUCCCUGUCCACUGUACCAUGAAUUUUAGUGUCAUUAACAAACCUACCAACUAUGUCAACAAACAACAGGAUUCUGCAGAUGCUGGAAAUUCAAGCAACACACAUCAAAGUUGCUGGUGAACGCAGCAGGCCAGGCAGCAUCUCUUGGAAGAGGCGCAGUCGACGUUUCAGGCCGAGACCCUUCGUCAGCACCAACUAUGUCACCGACAUUAUCAUCCAAAUCAUUAAUAGGAAUGCCAAAUAACCGCGGCCCCAGCACCGACCUCUGCAGGUCACAGGCCUCCAGUCCUCUGUGUUUAAGAGACACUUGGACAGACACUUCAAUAGGCAAGGCACAGAAGGAGACUGACCUAAUGCUGGCCAAUGGGAUGAAUGUAGAUGGGUAAAUAGGUCAGCAGAGAUGUGAUGUGUCGAAGGGCACAUUUCUAUGCUGUACGGCGAUGGCUCUGUGAACUGAAUGGAUAAGAACCCCCAAACCCCACUCUCCCUUCGGGUGCUCAGAAUUCCAAACAGACAGUGACCCCUGACCCUUGACUCCUCAGACAGGGGAAACAUCCUCCCUGUAUCUUGCCUGUUGACCCCAGAAGAAUUUUUUGUUUCCCUGAGAUCUCCUCUCUUUCUUCUGAACAGAGAACAGGGAACAUGGAACAUAGAACCAUACAGCACAGAUGUAUGAAGUGGGCCGUGGGUUCAAACCCUCCCAGAUCAUCCUCCUGAGGAAUCUCACCCUGGAGUCUGUCUGUGAACUGUUGAUGUGACGUCACGUCAGAGGGCAGCUCAGUGCACAGAACAGACAGACUGGACAGGUGUGUAAAAAGGGCCUGAAGGAUCACUGGAGACCCAAGUCACCCCAACAACAAACUGAGCCGGUUGCUACCAUACAGGAACUGGUACCGCAGCAUAAAAGCCAGAACCAACAGGGUCUGGGGACAGCUUCUUCCACCAGGCCAUCAGACUGCUUAACUCGUGCUGAGACAACUGUAUUUCUAUGUUAUAUCGACUAGAAUGUUAUACAUAUUAUUUAUCAUCAAUUACUAUAAACUGGACAUUUAGACGGAAGAUUUUUCCUGCUCGUUUAUAGAAAGGAUGUAAGUAAUAAAGUCAAUUCAAUUCAAUUCCAUAUUUCAUUUUUCCCCUCCCAAUCAUUUUUUCAGUUCCUCUCUGUAGGUAUUUAAAAGCCUCCCAAUUCUCUGUCUUCCUAUUAAUUUUCACGUUGUUGUAUGCCCACUCUUUGGCAUUUACAUUAGCUUGUCUUCCCUCAUCAGCCACGAUUGUACUAUUUUGCCAUUUGAGUAUUUAUUUAUAUUUGGAAUAUAUCUAUCCUUCACCUUCCUCAUUUUCCCAGAAUCUGACAUCAUUUCUGCUCUGCUGUCAUCCCAGAUAACAUCUCUCUCCAAUUUACUUUGGCCAGCUCCUCUUUCAGACCACUGUAAUUUCCUUUACUCUACUGAAAUACUACAACAUCAGACUUUACUUUCUGCUUAACAAAUUUCAGGUUGAACUCAGUCAUGUUGUGAGCACUGACUCCUAAGGGUUCAUUUACCUAAUCACCUCCGGUUCAAUACAUAACACUCAAUCCAGUAGAGCUUUUCCCCUUGUAGGCUCAACGACAAACUGCUCUAAAAAGUUAUCACAUGACUUUCAACAAAUUCACUCUCUUGAGAUCCAUUACUAACCUGAUUUUCCCAAUUGACCUGCAUGUUGAAAUCUCCCAUGACUAUUAUAACAUUGUCCUUUUCAUCGGCCUUUUCUAUUUCCAGUUGUAAUCUGUGGUCCACAUCCAGCUACUGUUGAGAUCCUGUAUAUGACUGCCAUCAGUAUCAUUUUUUACUUUUGAACUUCCUUCACUCAACCCACAAGGAAUCAACAUCUUCCAAUCCUAUGUCACAUCUUUCUACUGAUUUACCAGGAGAGCCAUUUCACCCCCUCUGCCUACAUUCCUAUACCACCGAUACAAUGUGUAACCUUGGACAUUCAUCUCCCAACUACAACCAUCCUGCAGCCAUGAUUCAGUGAUGGCCACAACAUCAUACCUGACAAUCUGUAAUAAUGCAACAAGAUCAUCCACCCUAUUUCUCACACUCCAUGCAUUGAGAUAUAACACUUUGGGUACUGUAUUUCCUAUCCUUUUUAAUUCUGCAUCCCUAAUACACUGAUACUCACCCUGCUGGCUGCAGUUUUGUCCUCGUAUCUGUCUGCCCCAUCUGACUGUCUGACUGCACACUAUCUUUGCAUUUUUACCAUCAGUCCUACCCCUUCACUCGUUCCUAACCCCCCACCCUGAACAAAUUAGUUUAUACCCUCCCCAACAGCUCUAUCAAACCUCUCUGUGAGAAUAUUGUUCUCCCUCGGGUCCAGGUGCAACCCAUCCCUUUUGAGCAGGUUAUUUCUCCACCAGAAAAGAUCCCAAUGAUCCAAAAACCUGAAGCCCUGUCCCCUGCACCAGCUUCUCAGGCAUGCUUUAAUCUGCCAAAUUAUCCUGCUUCUGCCCUCACCAGCACUUAGCACAGGCAGCAGUCCAGAAAUUAUAAACCUGAAGGUACUGCUUCUGAGCUUUCUACCAAGCUCUCCAAAUUCUAUUUUCAGGACCUCUUUGUUUUUACUUCCAAUGUCAUUGGCCCCAAAAUAUACCAACAUAUCCAGCUGUUUUCCCUCACUCUCUAAAAUGCUGCAGACACGAUCCGAGGCAUCCCUGAUUCCAGCACCUAGGAGGCAACAUACCAUUCGGGUGUCCCGUUCACAUCCACAGAUUCUCCUGUCUGUUCCCCGACUGAGUCCCCAAUCACUACCGCUCCCCUCUUUUGCCUCGAACAACAGUGAGAGUUGCUGAUCCAGAAGGGGGAAGACCUGCGUCAAUCAGAGUCUGCACUCACAGCGCACAAAGGACUUGUGCAUUUUUCUGACAAGUCCAGUGACCACAGUGAUGCCCGCUUUUAUUCCCUACAAUAUCAUCAAGUCAGUAUUAAUUUCUCAGCUCCUGUGGUAGGAUUCAAACUCAUGUCUUGGCAUGUUAGUGCAGUGGCCUGGGAUCAGGACCCAGUGGUUCAUCUGCCAGUCCCGUGUGUUGGUUGCAUUGUGACCCUGUGCUGGUGUGUUCAGGGGUCUGACAUCUCCAGCUGACCAUGUGACAGUGACGCCUCCCACGCCCCCCCCCCAGUCGGUGGGGUUGACUUCAGUUCCCCUUCAGUCAUUAUUACAGCCAAUCUUUGCCUUAAAUAAUAACAAUUGUGUUUCAGAAACAAAAAGAAAUGAAUAUUUGUAAG